rnacentral:rRNA from 1 species
CCCCACUGCUAUCGAGGUGGGACUAGCCAUGCUAGUCGAACGACCCGGACUAUGGCGGGGAGUGGCAGACUGCUCAGUAACACGUAGCUAACCUACCCUCGGGACGGGGAUAACUCCGGGAAACUGGGGCUAAUACCCGAUAGGUGUGGAUUCCUGGAAUGGUGCCAUGCCUAAAUGUAAGCGCAUCCAUGUUUUGUGUGCACGCCCGAGGAUGGGGCUGCGGCCGAUCAGGCAGUUGGUGAGGUAACGGCUCACCAAGCCUUUGACCGGUACGGGCCAUGAGAGUGGUAGCCCGGAGAUGGGCACUGAGACAAGGGCCCAGGCCCUACGGGGCGCAGCAGGCGCGAAACCUCCACAAUUCACGCAAGUGAGAUGGGGUUACCUCGAGUGCCGUCUGAAGAAGGCGGCUUUUCCAUGGUGUAACAAGCCGUGGGAAUAAGGGGGGGGCAAGACUGGUGUCAGCCGCCGCGGUAACACCAGCCCCCCGAGUGGUGGGGAUGAUUAUUUGGCCUAAAGCGUCCGUAGCCGGCUUUGUAAAUCUCUCGUUAAAUCCAGCGUCCUAAGCGUUGGGCUGCGAGAGACACUGCAGAGCUAGAGGGUGGGAGAGGUCAGCGAUAUUCCUGGGGUAGGGGCGAAAUCCAUUGAUCCCAGGAGGACCACCAGUGGCGAAGGCUGCUGUCCAGAACACGCCUGACGGUCAGGGACGAAAGCUGGGGUAGCGAAUCGGAUUAGAUACCCGAGUAGUCCCAGCCGUAAACGAUGCAGGCUAGGUGUUGGGUCGGCCACGCGCCGCCUCAGUGCCACAGGGAAGCCAUUAAGCCUGCCGCCUGGGGAGUACGGCCGCAAGGCUGAAACUUAAAGGAAUUGGCGGGGGAGCACCACCAGGCGUGAAGCCUGCGGUUUAAUUGGAUUCAACGCCGG